UACGUAGGGUCCAAGCGUUAUCCGGAGUUACUGGGCGUAAAGAGUGUGUAGGCGGUGCUCUAAGUUCGGUGUGAAAUCUCCCGCUUAACUGGGAGGGUGCGCCGGAAACUGGAGUGCUCGAGCGUGGGAGAGGAAAGCGGAAGUUCCUGGUGUAGCGGUGAAAUGCGUAGAUAUCAGGAGGAACACCUGCGGUGUAGACGGCUUUCUGGACCAUUGCUGACGCUGAGACACGAAAGCGUGGGUAGCAAACAGG
rnacentral:rRNA from 1 species